UACGAAGGGGGCUAGCGUUGCUCGGAAUUACUGGGCGUAAAGGGCGCGUAGGCGGAUAUUUAAGUCGGGGGUGAAAGCCCAGGGCUCAACCCUGGAAUUGCCUUCGAUACUGGAUAUCUUGAGUUCGGGAGAGGUGAGUGGAAUGCCGAGUGUAGAGGUGAAAUUCGUAGAUAUUCGGCGGAACACCAGUGGCGAAGGCGACUCACUGGCCCGAUACUGACGCUGAGGCGCGAAAGCGUGGGGAGCAACAGGGAUUAAGAAACCCU
rnacentral:rRNA from 1 species